UUUUAAGAAGAGGAAACUCAGUCUUUUCAAACAGAAAGACCACCACUGUGUUCAAACAAUUUAAUUUCCCUAAAAGUCCUAGAGGUGUUGAAAGAGUCCGGACUUUGAAGCCCCACUCUAAAUUUGGACUAUAGGAUGAGAGUGUUUGUUUUGUGGAAAGUAAAGGGAGUGCCACAAAGUGGACAAAAAUAAAUUCCAGACCUCUUAUGUGGGUGGACUCGACCGGGACUGCAGAAGAGACAAAUGAUGACAUCAGGAUCUGCUACCAUGCGUGGUAAAUGAGCCAUCGACACAUCAGGAUCAAGUGAUCUCACCCUCCUAAGCUUCUCUUUUGUGGUCUCCCUCCGAGACCACUUUAACCCCUUUAGGAGCCACCUGCACUUAAUAACCAAGAAUUGGGGGGUUUCACAGGAAAGGCUCCAACCCAGAUGGCAAACACUGAGCGUCAGCAAUGCAAAGGGCACGGGCCAGUGCAACACAACAUUCUUGUUGCAUGUAGUCAGUCUGGUCAGGGGAAAUCCACCUCUGGAAUUUCUGUUAGAUUCCUUGCCGUGUUAUUCUGUUCCUGCUACCUGUGUUCGUUAGCCUCCCUCCUUCAGUUGCUCUGCAUUCGCCCUGGCACCAGCUGCUUCAUCGGAUUAGCUCUUCUUGUUCAUUGGUCAUUUCUCCACCCUGCCUCUGCAUUUAUACUUUGUGGUUUUCAUUAACUUCGUAAUAUGACAAAAUGUCUGACGAUAUCAUCAAAAUGUGGAGGUUGAGGAAUAAAAAAAAAAAGAAUCAAA